GAUGAACGCUGGCGGCGUGCUUAACACAUGCAAGUCGAGCGAGUGAGUUCUUCGGAACGAUCUAGCGGCGGACGGGUGAGUAACACGUGGGCAACCUGCCUCAUAGAGGGGAAUAGCCUCCCGAAAGGGAGAUUAAUACCGCAUAAAAUUAUCGAGUGGCAUCACAUGAUAAUCAAAGGAGUAAUCCGCUAUGAGAUGGGCCCGGGGCGCAUUAGCUAGUUGGUGAGGUAACGGCUCACCAAGGCGACGAUGCGUAGCCGACCUGAGAGGGUGAUCGGCCACAUUGGGAAUGAGACACGGACCAGACGCGUACGGGAGGCAGCAGUGGGGAAUAUUGCAAAAUGGGGGAAACCUGGAUGCAGCAACGCCGCGUGAGUGAUGAAGGUCUUCGGAUUGUAAAGCUCUGUCUUUGGGGACGAUAAUGACGGUACCCAAGGAGGAAGCCACGGCUAACUACGUGCCAGCCGCCGCCGUAA
rnacentral:rRNA from 1 species